rnacentral:lncRNA from 1 species
UAAGAUGAUGAAUAUGAGUACUCGAGAGCAAGGCUAGGUAAGCAAUCAGGAUGGGGUUCCAGGCAAUCGGUUCCAGAUCUGAAGAUUGAUACCAAGUGCUGGUUGAUUGCUCUAUUUCUCCUUGUCCCAAAACAAUGACAAGGAGAAGAACAGGGAGAAAGCAUGAUAUGAGAUACUCUUGCUUUCAACCUUCACGAUAUGAAAUACUUUUUCUUUCGAUGGGUUGUUUGCAGAGGUACCCCAAGGAAUAAGGAACACUGAGUGACUCGAGAAGGUUUGUUGGAAAGGCAUUCUCGGAGAAGAAAAGGGUUAUGUAUGUUUUCCUUGCAAUGGAGGGUGAAGGGUGACAUUUAUAGGAAUUAAUAACCGGUACUAUUCUUUCACUCUUGUCAGCAAUCGUUGGAUGAUUUAAUAGUAAACUUCACGUGCUUUCUACUUCACAAGAGAUCUUCGAUAGAUUGCCCGUAAUUUUCGCAAGGCUGAGUGUGCAUGUGACAGGCUCUGACACGUCUGGAAAAGCAAGUGCCUCUUCGAUAUCUGGAAUCGACGCUUCGACAAACUACCCGUGAUUUUUGCAAAGCUGACUCUGCAUGUGACAGAUGCUGACACGUCUGGAAAAGCAGAUGCCUCUCUGAUAUCUGGAAUUGGCGCUUCGACAAACUGCCUGUGAUUUCCACAAAGCUGACUCUGCAUGUG